CCGUGGACAUUUUGGCCCAAG
rnacentral:sRNA from 1 species